GGCUGGGUAGCUCAGUGGAUUGAGAGCCCAGCCUAGAGGUGGGAGGUCCUAGGUUCGAAUCCAGCCUCAGCCA
rfam:Monodelphis domestica chrTn_v05.001736 genomic scaffold, whole genome shotgun sequence.